UGGUCAAGUUAUUAAGGGUGCAGGGCGGAUGCUUGGCACUAGGAGCCGAUGAAGGACGUGAUAAGCUGCGAUAAGCUUCGGGGAGUUGCACGUAAACUUUG
rnacentral:rRNA from 1 species